rnacentral:rRNA from 1 species
CACGCACACACCCAAGACAAGAUACAUAGGCGCUGAGCGCAACAACACCACUCCUAGCAAUACUACAACGAAGAGAUGAAGUUACAUAUGACGAACCAUGGGCUCCAAGGCGGCGCCUUCAGGAAGGGUACGACACCGGAGCGCCGCCACCGCCCGAUCCAAGGAUCAGAGUUUCCCCUGGAGCCGCAUGACGGGCAAUGAGAGCCGCGACGACGCCUUCAAGAAGGGAACGAUCUUCGCCGCCGCCGGUCCGUCCGAAGAUAGAACAGGUUUUCACCUCGGCCACCACUCACCGCCACCGAACGCCACAUCCCGGCAACCACGCCGCCCACACGGCCAUGGUGACCGGGCA